rfam:Giardia lamblia ATCC 50803 SC_592 genomic scaffold, whole genome shotgun sequence.
GCCAGUUUGGCCGAGUGGUUAAGGCGAUGGAUUCAAGUCCCAUUGGUUGCAAGACCGCGUGGGUUCGAACCCCACAGCUGGCA